rnacentral:snoRNA from 2 species
AAUAAAGCAGGAUGCUGUGCUAUAUAGUGGCAGUAUCCCCGUAAACUUUAGGAACACCAUGAUCAUCGUUAUUGGGUGAAUCAUUUGGUCAUGUCCAUGUGUUGGACAACUCCAUGCCAAUUGGUUCAGUAAAUGAUGGCACAUUU